rnacentral:rRNA from 2 species
UGGGGAAUAUUGCGCAAUGGGGGCAACCCUGACGCAGCAACGCCGCGUGCGGGAUGAAGGCCUUCGGGUUGUAAACCGCUUUCAGCAGGGAGGAUAGUGACAGUACCUGCACAAGAAGCCCCGGCUAACUACGUGCCAGCAGCCGCGGUAACACGUAGGGGGCGAGCGUUAUCCGGAUUCAUUGGGCGUAAAGCGCGCGCAGGCGGCCGCCUAAGCGGGACCUCUAAUCCCGGGGCUCAACCCCGGGCCGGGUCCCGAACUGGGCGGCUCGGGUGCGGUAGAGGAGGGCGGAAUUCCCGGUGUAGCGGUGGAAUGCGCAGAUAUCGGGAAGAACACCGAUGGCGAAGGCAGCCCUCUGGGCCGUCACCGACGCUGAGGCGCGAAAGCUAGGGGAGCGAACAGG